UUCCAGGUUCCCACUCCCCCACUGGUGUCUACGGUCGGUCCUCCGACUCCGCCUCCUCCUCCGCUUCCGCCUCCGCUGCUGAUGCCUGCGGCGGUUAGAGCGGCUAUCAGGUUGGGGCCGCUGGACUUAUCUUUGCCGUUUGACUAUUCAACAACCAUGGCCCAGAAAAGUAUGCUAUGGAUAAUGGAGGACUCCAUACUCCACCACAGUACAUUCGUCUCUUCCAUGCUGCUUCCUCUGUAUCUCCCACCGAAAAACCAAGGAACCAGUACCAGUAAUCUUAGAGAUAUGGGUGGCUAUCGUCUAACACUCUUUCUUAUAUGUACAUACAUAUGUAUCCCCGAAUAAAAGAUCUUGGUUGUUUUAUUAUUCCAGAAAAAGUAUUUGUUUUUUUGUUUUAUUUAUUUGAAUGAAGAUAUAUGUUUGUUUGCCAUUUUGUUGUUUGUUUUUUGUUUGUUUUACUUGCUCCAUAACCUCAUAUCCUCAGUGUCAGGGUGUGUGUGUGUCUGUGUGUCGGUCGGGGGGGGGGUGUGGUUUUCUUCAUAUCUAUUUUACUUGAGUACAAACGCCGAUUGUUGGAUGCUCUUUCUUUCUGUGUGUGUUCCCCCCUUCGGGGGUUGGAGUUCGGUUCGGUUCGGUUCGUUUCGGUUCGGGGAGGGCUCUUUAGAAAAUGAUUUUGCAUUGAAUAUAUAUUCUUUGUAUAUAGUAUAAUCGUAUAUGUAUAUUUCCUUCAUUACGGUUUUACGCACUCGCUUACGCAUACGUUUUUAAUUAAAUUGUUUCAUAUUUGGUUUUUGCGUUUCUUUAUUUUCUGUUUCUUCGAAGUAUUUGCAUUGAAGUACUGUUGAUAUUAUAGUUUUCUAUUACAGUUUCAAUUUUUAGAGAAUUUUUUAUGAGGGGCGGACUGGGAGAGAGCUUCUUGCAUAUGUGUUUAAUAUAUAUAUAUAUUAAUUUUGGUAAUUCGUUCAUUGAUUUUUCCCUCUAUUUACUUUUACGUUAGUACAUAUGUAUGUUUUAUCUAUCGUCUGCUAUGGGUCUGGGGGGCGGGGUAGCGGGGAGGGGAGGGCUUAUAACAUUUCUCUCUCAACAUUUGUUCUGUUAUUUAAAUUGAAAAACGUCUGGAGCAAAACA